UGAGAAUUUAACGAGAGUUUAUUGUAUCCCAAAGACCUAGCCAUAUCUCGGCCUAAUUGUAAAGUGGAAAGAGAAGAAAACAAAACCUAUCUCUCUCGACCUUCUCGAACCUAUCGACCCUCUCAGUCAUCUUCUUCGCCACCUUCUCUUCCCCUUCUUAUCCAAAAUGCAAAUCCUGUCCCCUCCUCACUUCUAAUCUAAAUCCCUAAAUCCAAACCACUAAUUCAAUCCCUUAGUAUCCUCCAUUUUCCUCUCAGUUUUUCAAAAUCCAUACCAAACUUUUCCGCAAUUGAAAAAAUCGGAUUUGAACUGAAUGCUCUAGGGUUCUGAGUAAUCGAGCAGCAGUGAGAUGAGCGACAACAUGGAAAGUUCAAAUUUCGAGCCUUUUGAGCAUGACAGCUGUGCUGAGGCUGUUACCUCAAUUCCCGAUUCUUCUAGAGUUGAGGGUGCGGUGUCGCCGCUGCUGAACGUCGUCUUUUCGGAACCACAGAAGAGCUACACGGGGAUGAAUCUAACGACGAUGAGGAUAACCCCGAUGGGUUCAAACCUUACACACCUUCAAGCUCGCCACAAUUCCUUUACCGCAACCCGUCUUCUUCUUUCUGCUCCGUUUUCAAACCAUUAUACAAAACCUUCCUCUACUGCCAUAGCCACACACCAAGCCCUCAAGUUCCUCUCUUUUUCGUCACAGCACCAAAAGCAACAAUGCCCAAAUGAGAAAGGUAUGAAACCGCAGUUUAAAGCGGUAGAUUUCAAGUGGAUAAGGAGAACAAGGAUGUUGUUGCUUGGUAUUGCAACCUAGUUUCAUUGAAUUUGGGUGAUAUCUGGUAGGGCUUGAAAGGAGUUCUAGUGGACAUUGGUGGCUGGAUAAUAUAGGAAAGGCUAUUGAAGAAGGAAAAACUUAUGAAUGUAUGGGUUCUGGGCAGCUAGCAGGCUUGUUCAUAACUCUUUGGGAGGUGUAGGUAUGACAAUGAGAGUCUAUGAUCAGAUAAUGUGCUCUGUGAACUGUCACUUGGCUGCACAUUUGGAAGUUGUCCUGCAUCAGAUAAGUAUAGUUAUCUUCCUAUACAUAGAUCUAUGUAUUUCAGCUAUGAAAUGUUUAGCAUUUAUCAUUCUUAAGGUCAAUGUGUGCUAUUAUAGUUGUUCUAGUUCAGAAAUUAGGUUAAUUAUGAGAGUUGAUGAUACGAUCACGUAUCGGAAAGUUGUUUUCACUUUGGAUAGUUAGUGUUGUGAAAGCCUUGAUCAUUGUGGAAUGAUUAAUUAUUUGGUUUCCAAAUACUAUAGGGAUAUGCAGCUCGGGAGUUUGCCAAGUAGGGGGUUAAGCCAGGCGAACUAGCAGUAAUUUUCAAAGAGGCGGGUUAUUCCUAGUCCUUUUUCAUAUGACACAAAGACUAUGCCGGUAUAUGAGAGUGAGGACUAGGAAGGAAGAUAUCAGAACCAGAACCAAGGAGCCUCUUCUGCUGUAAUAAUCCAAAGCUCAAGAAGCAACAUAAAUGAGUUGGAGUGGGAUCUUAGAGCUCGAGAAGCAAGGACUAUGGAUUACCUCCUUUCAGCAUGUGAGCUACCAAGUUUGAUUCAUAGGUCUAGGUAGCAGCGGGGAAUAGCUAGGGAUGCUUUUGAUUAAUGUGUUGGUAGCAGCUACGAAUGCUUUCUUUGUUUGGUAUAUUAUCUAGUAACUUGAAUGUUUGGAUGUUUGAAAAAUGCUACUUGAAUGAUAUGGAUUAGAGUGUGGUUUUAUAUGGUAAUAUGGAGCAUUACUUUUGGAAA